CCUACGGGAGGCAGCAGUGGGGAAUAUUGGGCAAUGGGCGCAAGCCUGACCCAGCAACGCCGCGUGAAGGAAGAAGGCUUUCGGGUUGUAAACUUCUUUUGUCAGGGACGAAGCAAGUUACGGUACCUGACGAAUAAGCUACGGCUAACUCCGUGCCAGCAGCCGCGGUAAUACGUAGGUGGCAAGCGUUAUCCGGAUUUACUGGGUGUAAAGUGCGUGUAGGCGGGGGAGCAAGUAAGAUGUGAAAACCACGGGCUCAACCUGUGUCCUGCAUUUGAAACUGUUUUUCUUGAGUGCGGGAGAGGCGAGCGGAAUGCGGGGUGUAGCGGUGAAAUGCGUAGAUAUA
rnacentral:rRNA from 1 species